GAUGAACGCUGGCGGCGUGCCUAAUACAUGCAAGUCGAGCGAACAGACGAGGAGCUUGCUCCUCUGACGUUAGCGGCGGACGGGUGAGUAACACGUGGAUAACCUACCUAUAAGACUGGGAUAACUUCGGGAAACCGGAGCUAAUACCGGAUAAUAUAUUGAACCGCAUGGUUCAAUAGUGAAAGACGGUUUUGCUGUCACUUAUAGAUGGAUCCGCGCCGCAUUAGCUAGUUGGUAAGGUAACGGCUUACCAAGGUAACGAUGCGUAGCCGACCUGAGAGGGUGAUGCGCCCCCCAGGACCUAGACCCCGGCCCCGGCCCCUGAGGGGGCCCGCAGCUGGGAACCUCCCCCCUUGGGCGAAGCCCCGCCGGAGGCACCCCCGCUAGGUGUUGGAGGGCUUCGUGUGGUAAAACUCUUUUUGUUGGGAAGAACAAAUGUGUAAGUACCUUUGCCCUUCUUGGCGGUACCUAAACAGAAAGCCCCCGCUAACUCCGU
rnacentral:rRNA from 1 species